rnacentral:rRNA from 1 species
CAGUGGGGAAUCUUAGACAAUGGGCGCAAGCCUGAUCUAGCCAUGCCGCGUGUGUGAUGAAGGUCUUAGGAUCGUAAAGCACUUUCGCCAGGGAUGAUAAUGACAGUACCUGGUAAAGAAACCCCGGCUAACUCCGUGCCAGCAGCCGCGGUAAUACGGAGGGGGUUAGCGUUGUUCGGAAUUACUGGGCGUAAAGCGUACGUAGGCGGAUCRGAAAGUAGGGGGUGAAAUCCCAGGGCUCAACCCUGGAACUGCCUCCUAAACUCYYGGUCUUGAGUUCGAGAGAGGUGAGUGGAAUUCCAAGUGUAGAGGUGAAAUUCGUAGAUAUUUGGAGGAACACCAGUGGCGAAGGCGGCUCACUGGCUCGAUACUGACGCUGAGGUACGAAAGUGUGGGGAGCAAACAGGAUUAGAUACCCUGGUAGUCCACACCGUAAACGAUGAAUGCCAGUCGUCGGGCAGUAUACUGUUCGGUGACACACCUAACGGAUUAAGCAUUCCGCCUGGGGAGUACGGUCGCAAGAUUAAACU